rnacentral:rRNA from 1 species
AUUGAACGCUGGCGGCAGGCUUAACACAUGCAAGUCGAGCGGAGUGAUGGUGCUUGCACUAUCACUUAGCGGCGGACGGGUGAGUAAUGCUUAGGAAUCUGCCUAUUAGUGGGGGACAACAUCUCGAAAGGGAUGCUAAUACCGCAUACGUCCUACGGGAGAAAGCAGGGGAUCACUUGUGACCUUGCGCUAAUAGAUGAGCCUAAGUCGGAUUAGCUAGUUGGUGGGGUAAAGGCCUACCAAGGCGAAGAUCUGUAGCGGGUCAGGGGGGAUGAUCCGCCACACUGGGACUGAGACACGGCCCAGACUCCUACGGGAGGCAGCAGUGGGGAAUAUUGGACAAUGGGGGGAACCCUGAUCCAGCCAUGCCGCGUGUGUGAAGAAGGCCUUAUGGUUGUAAAGCACUUUAAGCGAGGAGGAGGCUCUUUUGGUUAAUACCCAAGAUGAGUGGACGUUACUCGCAGAAUAAGCACCGGCUAACUCUGUGCCAGCCGCCGCAGUAA